GUGGGGAAUAUUGCGCAAUGGGGGAAACCCUGACGCAGCGACGCCGCGUGAGCGAUGAAGGCCUUAGGGUUGUAAAGCUCUGUUUUAAGGGACGAAUGUUACGGGGAGUAAUAUGCCCUGUAAAUGACGGUACCUUAAGAGGAAGCCCCGGCUAACUACGUGCCAGCAGCCGCGGUAAGACGUAGGGGGCGAGCGUUGUCCGGAAUUACUGGGCGUAAAGAGCACGUAGGCGGGAACUUAAGUCAGGUGUGAAAGACCGGGGCUCAACCUCGGGGUGGCACUUGAAACUGGGUUUCUUGAGGGCAGGAGAGGAAAGUAGAAUUCCUGGUGUAGCGGUGAAAUGCGUAGAAAUCAGGAGGAAUACCAGUGGCGAAGGCGACUUUCUGGACUGACCCUGACGCUGAGGUGCGAAAGCGUGGGUAGCAAACAGGAUUAGAAACCCGGGUAGUCC
rnacentral:rRNA from 1 species